rnacentral:rRNA from 1 species
AACGAACGCUGGCGGCAUGCCUAACACAUGCAAGUCGAACGAAACCUUCGGGUCUAGUGGCGCACGGGUGCGUAACGCGUGGGAACCUGCCCUUAGGUUCGGAAUAACUCCCCGAAAGGGGUGCUAAUACCGGAUGAUCUCUUCGGGCCAAAGAUUUAUCGCCUUUGGAUGGGCCCGCGUUGGAUUAGCUAGUUGGUAGUGUAAAAGCCUACCAAGGGCACGAUCCAUAGCUGGUCUGAGAGGAUGACCAGCCACACUGGGACUGAGACACGGCCCAGACUCCUACGGGAGGCAGCAGUGGGGAAUAUUGGGCAAUGGGCGAAAGCCUGACCCAGCAAUGCCGCGUGAGUGAUGAAGGCCUUAGGGUUGUAAAGCUCUUUUACCCGGGACGAUAAUGACGGUACCGGGAGAAGAAGCCCCGGCUAACUCCGUG